rnacentral:snoRNA from 12 species
UCCUCUUACAAAGGCGCACUUGCACUGGUCUGCUUGCCUGUGCGUAAGAAUUGGAGGAAUAUCAAAAUGAGUGGUGGGUGUUUUAUUUUUCACUAGCUGCAGGUGCAGUUGGGCCUUCACCACUCAG